AAAUGUUUCACGUUUCACUUUGUUUCAUACUGAAUUUCAGUUUGUUUCUACAGCAAAAAUGUGCGAAUCCAUUCCAGAAAGAUUUAUGCGACGCAUGGACUAAAAUAACAAACUGUUCGUACUCUCUAGAUAGAGAAUACUUCAAAAGAAAAGAAUGUGGACAAAGUUGAAAAUGCUUUCUUCAAAAGUAACCUGUUCUUCUAAAGAAGUGUGAAUACAAUGUACAAUGUAUUCUAUAAAAUUUUAGAUCUAUUUACAAUAAAAGUUAUUAAAGAAACUAA